rnacentral:lncRNA from 1 species
GCAAGACACUUGGCUGAGUCCAAAGUCAUGGUUCAGGGAAGCGCUUUCCACCUGUAUGAGGUCAAAGCAAAACUCACAUGGCCAACCCAGCAUCAGUGGAAGAGGACUGCUGGAAGGCUGUAGCACUGUUCAUUUCACAUCUGCUGGCAUUCUACCUGCAAAACAAAAUUAUAAGAAACGUGCUUCCAUACUGUUCCAUCAUUCUGUGCAUUCUGUGAGAUAUCAAGUCAUCUUGAUAUGCCAAAUAUACCAUUUCACAGUCAUGUGAUCAUGUGGUGUCCCACGAUCAGGAAAGAAGCAAUUUCUGGACUCCCAUGGGACACAUGCUGAGGGUGCUGAAGAAUUGAUUGCAUAUGAUAAAUUCAUUCCAGUGUUCCUAUCUCCUAAGCCUUUGGAUUCCUUCCUCACCAUUGUGUCCAGGAAGUUCUAAUAUCUCAACUUCAUUUAGUGAAGGAUAACUCUGAGUCUUGAUUUCAAUCAACCAAACAAUGAAGCUGUUAGAGUCAUUCUUGGCAGUUUGAGCCACAUAUUAAAUCCCAAAACUCUGGUGUUUGCAAGGAUAUCAAUCAGUUUGACCUUUUUCACUGUUAGUUUCCUUAGUCCCUGGUCUUAUUUGCUUAGAAUACAUUCAUCACACAUAG